UUAGCUUCUCGGAAGGAAGGUACUACCCUGGGAGAAUAACAUGCCCGCCUGUGUGUUAUAUCUACUGCGAAUAUGGUAACGUGCUGGAUCAUAAUGGAUGUGCUACCUGCGCCUGCAAUCCAGGACCUGGAUACUAUUAGAAACAACCACUAACUUUAUAUAUCUACUUAAAGGAUGGUUGUCUGUGUAUACAAGAAGUCAGAGAAAGGCUUUAAGUACUUUGUUAACUAUUUUACAGAAUAAAAUUUGAAGAGGAAAAAUGUAUUCGUUCAUUUGGUA